AUGAACUUGGGACUCAAUUGGCUUUUCCUUGUCAUCGUUUUAAAAGGUGUCCAGUGUGAGGUUCAGCUUGUGGAGUCAGGAGGAGGUUUGAUGCAACCUGGAAAGUCCCUGAAACUCUCCUGUGUGGCCUCUGGAUUCACCUUCAGUAACUACUGGAUGAGCUGGGUCCGCCAGGCUCCAGGGAAGUCCCUGGAGUGGGUUGCAUCUAUUUAUAAUAGUAAUAACAUCUACUACACCGAUGCUGUGAAGGGCCGAUUCACCAUUUCCAGAGACAAUUCCAAGAACACCCUAUACCUGGAAAUGGGCAGUUUGAAGUCAGAGGAUACAGCCACAUAUUACUGUGCAAGAGACACAGUGAUGUGGGGCAGACACACUGCUCUUAUUUCUCUUUCUUCACAGUAG